ACGUAGGGGGCAAGCGUUAUCCGGAAUUAUUGGGCGUAAAGGGUGCGUAGGCGGUUUUUUAAGUUUGCGGUGAAAUCCAACAGCUCAACUAUUGUAAGCCUUGCGAACUGGAAGACUUGAGUGCAGGAGAGGAAAGUGGAAUUCCUAGUGUAGCGGUGAAAUGCGUAGAUAUUAGGAGGAACACCAGUGGCGAAGGCGACUUUCUGGACUGUAACUGACACUGAGGCACGAAAGCGUGGGGAGCAAACAG
rnacentral:rRNA from 1 species